rnacentral:rRNA from 1 species
UGACAAAGUCUGCGGAGCGCGCCGCGUGCAGGAUGACNGGCCUUCGGGUUGUAAACUGCUUUUAUGAGGGAGGAAAUUUUGACGUUACCUCAUGAAUAAGGAGCUCCUAAUUCCGUGCCAGCAGGAGCGGUCAUACGGAAGCUUCAAGCGUUACCCGGAAUCACUGGGCGUAAAGGGUGCGUAGGUGGUCAUAUUAGUCUUCUGUUAAAGACUCGGGCUCAACCCGAGGAGUGCGGAGGAAACGGUAUGACUAGAGGAUAUGAGAGGUGUGCGGAACUCAUGGUGUAGGGGUGAAAUCCGUUGAUAUCAUGGGGAACACCAAAUGCGAAGGCAGCACACUGGCAUAUUCCUGACACUGAGGCACGAAAGCGUGGGUAGCGAACGGGAUUAGAUACCCCGGUAGUCCAUGCCCUAAACGAUCCUAACUAGCUUUGGGGAGUAUCGACCCUCUCCGAGGCGAAAGCUAACGCGUUAAGUUAGGCCGCCUGGGUAGUACGAGGCAAGCU